CGGCACGGGUGAGUAACACGUAGGUAAUGUACCUUUGGGUGGGGAAUAACUUAGGGAAACUUAAGCUAAUACCGCAUAAUGCAGCGGCUCCUUAUGGAGACAGUUGUUAAAGAUUUAUCGCCUAAAGAGCAGCCUGCGGCAGAUUAGCUAGUUGGUAAGGUAAUGGCUUACCAAGGCUACGAUCUGUAACCGACCUGAGAGGGUGGUCGGUCACACUGACACUGAAUAACGGGUCAG
rnacentral:rRNA from 1 species